AUGAACGCUAGCGGCAGGCCUAAUACAUGCAAGUCGAACGAUACCCUGGAGCUUGCUUCAGGGAAAAGUGGCGGACGGGUGCGUAACGCGUAUGCAAUCUACCUUACUCAGGGGGAUAGCCCGGAGAAAUCCGGAUUAACACCGCAUAACAUUGUUUUGUGGCAUCACAGAACAAUCAAAUAUUUAUAGGAGUAAGAUGAGCAUGCGUGACAUUAGCUGGUUGGUGAGGUAAUGGCUCACCAAGGCGACGAUGUCUAGGGG
rnacentral:rRNA from 1 species